AGAGAGAGAAGAGGGGCGGGGGUCAGGAUUUAUUUCUGAUACCAUUACUUUUCCUCUUAGAUAUGAGGCCCUUUGCUCCACUAGGAUCUUAAAGAAAGAAAAGUCUCAGAUGUACAGGAGCUCUGACGAAGGAACUUGCUCUGGAACACAUCAUCAUUAAAGAUCAGAUAGAUUGUAUGUAUCAUGUCUUUCAGUAGACUACCUGGGAGGUGAUAUGUUGUAUGUAAUUCCUAUUGGACCUUGUAGAUAAUAGUCACAUUUUUUGGUAACUUUCCCAUUGAAAAUUCCACAGACCUACCUCAAAAGGCUUUCGGAGCUAUCGUCGACUUAGUAGGUUUUAUCCAACAUGUCUCCGGACUUACUCAUGGCCACAGUCAUCCUAUGGACCAAGUUUUGUCCCGUGGAUUAAAUAUUGUGGAUCUUAAUAUUUUUCCUCAUAAUUCUGGACUAACGGACCACCAUUUUAUUACGUUUGCAAACGCAACAAAUAAUCUGCUGCGACCCCAACCAAGGAUCAUCAAAAGCCGUGCUAUAAAUUCUCAGACAACCCAAAGAUUCCUAGACGCCAUUCCAGACUCCCACCACCCACCCAAGGACGUCAGAGUACAUUUAACCUUGCGUAAUACCCUAGAUGCAGUCGCACCCCUAAAAACAGAAAACAUUUGUCAUAAGAAACUAGCUCCCUAGUAUCCAGAAUAAUACCCGAGCGAGCCCUGAAGGUAGCUUCCAGAAAAUUGGAACGGAAAUGGUGCUACACCAGACUGGAAAUCUUCUAACUAGCUUGGAAAGGCAGUACCGUGCAGUAUCGAAGAGACCUCACUGUUGAUCGAUCAUCCUAUUUUUCCAACUUGAGGAGAAUAACAACAAUCCAAAUGUAUUUGUGAUACUGUCACAAAGCAAACUAAAAAGCAGCAUUCCCCAAGAGAGGAUGGCUUUCACUUCAGCAGUAAUACAUUCAUGAACUUCUUUGACAAAAAGAUCAUGAUCAUUAGAAAGCAAAUUACUGACUCCUCUUCAAAGCUCAGUUGUCCUGAGUCUGCACAACACAGACAGGACCUAGAAUCAAGGGAGACACUCAAGUUUUUUAAUGCUAAAUCUCUUGACACAUUAAUGAAAAUAGUCUUGGCCUCUAAACCUAAAAGCUGCAUACCGGACCCUAUUCCAACCAAACUACUGAAAGAGCUGCUUCCUGUGCUUGGCCCACCUAUGUUGAACAUAAUAAACGGCUCCUUAACCACCGAAUGUGUACCAAACUCAGUAAAAAAGCCUCUCUUGAAAAAGCCAAACCUUGACCCAGAAAAUAUUUUAAAAACUAUUGGCCUAUAUCCUAUAUAUCCUAUAGCCUAUAUCCUGGAAGCCUGUGUUGGAAGUGGAUGGUGGUAAAUGUUUUACUUUUAAACUCGUACAAAACAGAGAUGCUAUUUCUAGGUCCCAAGAAACAAAGAGAUCUUCCGUUAGAUCUGACAAUUAAUCUUGACGGUUGUACAGUCGUCUCAAAUAAAACCGUAAAGGACCUCGGCGUUACUCUGAUCUCUCUUUUGACGAACAUAUCAAGCUCUUUCCAUCUACGUCACAUUGCAAAAAUAAGAAACUGUAUCGAUGCUGUAAAAAAUGUAUCUAUGCUUUUGCCACUUCUAGAUUAGACUACCGCAAUGUUGUACUUUCCGGCUACCCGGAUAAAGCACAAAAUUAACUUCAGUUAGUGCUAAACACGGCUGCUAGAAUCUUGACUCCAGUGCUAGCCUCCUGUUAAGACUAGGGCUGAUUUCAAGGUUUUACUGCGAACCUACAAAGUAUUACAUGGGCUUGCUCCUAUCUUUUCGAUUUGGUCCUGCCGUACAUACCUGACCUAUUCACCGGACGUGCUACCUUGUCCCGGACCUGCUGUUUUCAACUCUCUCCUCUCUACCGCACCUGCUGUCUCUAACUCUGAAUGAUCGGCUAUGAAAAGCCAACUGACAUUUACUCUUGAGGUGCUGACCUGUUGCACCCUCUACAAACCACUGUGACUAUUAUUAUUUGACCCUGCAGGUCAUCUAUGAACGUUUGAACAUCUUGGCCAUGUACUGUUAUAAUCUCAGGCCGGCACAGCCAGAAGAGAACUGGACACCCCUCAGGGCCUGGUUCCUCUCCACCCGGCACAGCCAGAAGAGGACUGGACACCCCUCAGAGCCUGGUUCCUCUCCACCCGGCACAGCCAGAGGACUGGCCACCCCUCAGAGCCUGGUUCCUCUUCACCCGGCACAGCCAGAGGACUGGCCACCCCUCAGAGCCUGGUUCCUCUCCACCCGGCACAGCCAGAGGACUGGCCACCCCUCAGAGCCUGGUUCCUCUCCACCCAGCACAGCCAGAAGAGGACUGCCACCCCUCAGAGCCUGGUUCCUCUCCACCCAGCACAGCCAGAAGAGGACUGCCACCCCUCAGAGCCUGGUUCCUCUCUAGGUUUCUUUCUAGGGAGUUUUGCCUAGCCACUGUGCUUCUAUAUCUGCAUUGCUUGGGGUUUUAGGCUGGGUUUCUGUAUAGCACUUUGUGACAUCGGCUGAUGUAAAAAGGGCUUUAUAAAUACAUUUGAAUGAAUUUGAUUGAUGUAGCAACAUGUUUUUAUGUAGACUCUACCUGAGAGGUGAUAGGUCGUCUGUAACAUGUCUUUCAGUAGACUAUCUGGGAGGUGAUAGGUUGUAUGUAACAACAUGUCUUUCAGUAGACUAUCUGGGAGGUGAUAGGUUGUAUGUAACAACAUGUCUUUCAGUAGACUCUACCUGAGAGGUGAUAGGUUGUCUGUAACAUGUCUUUCAGUAGACUAUCUGGGAGGUGAUAGGUUGUAUGUAACAACAUCUCUUUCAGUAGACUAUCUGGGAGGUGAUAGGUUGUCUGUAACAUGUCUUUCAGUAGACUAUCUGGGAGGUGAUAGGUUGUAUGUAACAACAUGUCUUUCAGUAGACUCUACCUGAGAGGUGAUAGGUUGUAUGUAACAACAUGUCUUUCAGUAGACUCUACCUGAGAGGUGAUAGGUUGUCUGUAACAUGUCUUUCAGUAGACUAUCUGGGAGGUGAUAGGUUGUAUGUAACAACAUGUCUUUCAGUAGACUAUCUGGGAGGUGAUAGGUUGUAUGUAACAACAUGUCUUUCAGUAGACUCUACCUGAGAGGUGAUAGGUUGUAUGUAACAACAUGUCUUUCAGUAGACUAUCUGGGAGGUGAUAGGUUGUAUGUAACAACAUGUCUUUCAGUAGACUCUACCUGAGAGGUGAUAGGUUGUAUGUAACAACAUGUCUUUCAGUAGACUAUCUGGGAGGUGAUAGGUUGUAUGUAACAACAUGUCUUUCAGUAGACUAUCUGGGAGGUGAUAGGUUGUAUGUAACAACAUGUCUUUCAGUAGACUAUCUGGGAGGUGAUAGGUUGUAUGUAACAACAUGUCUUUCAGUAGACUAUCUGGGAGGUGAUAGGUUGUAUGUAACAACAUGUCUUUCAGUAGACUAUCUGGGAGGUGAUAGGUUGUAUGUAACAACAUGUCUUUCAGUAGACUCUACCUGAGAGGUGAUAGGUUGUAUGUAACAACAUGUCUUUCAGUAGACUAUCUGAGAGGUGAUAGGUUGUAUGUAACAACAUGUCUUUCAGUAGACUCUACCUGAGAGGUGAUAGGUUGUAUGUAACAACAUGUCUUUCAGUAGACUAUCUGGGAGGUGAUAGGUUGUAUGUAACAACAUGUCUUUCAGUAGACUAUCUGGGAGGUGAUAGGUUGUAUGUAACAACAUGUCUUUCAGUAGACUAUCUGGGAGGUGAUAGGUUGUAUGUAACAACAUGUCUUUCAGUAGACUCUACCUGAGAGGUGAUAGGUUGUAUGUAACAACAUGUCUUUCAGUAGACUAUCUGAGAGGUGAUAGGUUGUAUGUAACAACAUGUCUUUCAGUAGACUCUACCUGAGAGGUGAUAGGUUGUAUGUAACAACAUGUCUUUCAGUAGACUAUCUGGGAGGUGAUAGGUUGUAUGUAACAACAUGUCUUUCAGUAGACUAUCUGGGAGGUGAUAGGUUGUAUGUAACAACAUGUCUUUCAGUAGACUCUACCUGAGAGGUGAUAGGUUGUCUGUAACAUGUCUUUCAGUAGACUAUCUGGGAGGUGAUAGGUUGUAUGUAACAAAAUGUCUUUCAGUAGACUAUCUGGGAGGUGAUAGGUUGUAUGUAACAACAUGUCUUUCAGUAGACUCUACCUGAGAGGUGAUAGGUUGUCUGUAACAUGUCUUUCAGUAGACUAUCUGGGAGGUGAUAGGUUGUAUGUAACAACAUGUCUUUCAGUAGACUAUCUGGGAGGUGAUAGGUUGUAUGUAACAACAUGUCUUUCAGUAGACUACCUGGAUGGUGAUAGGUUGUAUGUAACAACAUGUCUUUCAGUAGACUAUCUGGGAGGUGAUAGGUUGUAUGUAACAACAUGUCUUUCAGUAGACUCUACCUGAGAGGUGAUAGGUUGUAUGUAACAACAUGUCUUUCAGUAGACUAUCUGGGAGGUGAUAGGUUGUAUGUAACAACAUGUCUUUCAGUAGACUCUACCUGAGAGGUGAUAGGUUGUAUGUAACAACAUGUCUUUCAGUAGACUAUCUGGGAGGUGAUAGGUUGUAUGUAACAACAUGUCUUUCAGUAGACUAUCUGGGAGGUGAUAGGUUGUAUGUAACAACAUGUCUUUCAGUAGACUAUCUGGGAGGUGAUAGGUUGUAUGUAACAACAUGUCUUUCAGUAGACUAUCUGGGAGGUGAUAGGUUGUAUGUAACAACAUGUCUUUCAGUAGACUAUCUGGGAGGUGAUAGGUUGUAUGUAACAACAUGUCUUUCAGUAGACUAUCUGGGAGGUGAUAGGUUGUCUGUAACAACAUGUCUUUCAGUAGACUCUACCUGGAUGGUGAUAGGUUGUCUGUAACAACAUGUCUUUCAGUAGACUAUCUGGGAGGUGAUAGGUUGUAUGUAACAACAUGUCUUUCAGUAGACUAUCUGGGAGGUGAUAGGUUGUAUGUAACAACAUGUCUUUCAGUAGACUAUCUGGGAGGUGAUAGGUUGUCUGUAACAACAUGUCUUUCAGUAGACUCUACCUGGAUGGUGAUAGGUUGUCUGUAACAACAUGUCUUUCAGUAGACUAUCUGGGAGGUGAUAGGUUGUAUGUAACAACAUGUCUUUCAGUAGACUCUACCUGGAUGGUGAUAGGUUGUCUGUAACAUGUCUUUCAGUAGACUCUACCUCGAUGGUGAUAGGUUGUAUGUAACAACAUGUCUUUCAGUAGACUAUCUGGGAGGUGAUAGGUUGUCUGUAACAACAUGUCUUUCAGUAGACUAUCUGGGAGGUGAUAGGUUGUAUGUAACAACAUGUCUUUCAGUAGACUCUACCUGAGAGGUGAUAGGUUGUAU